rnacentral:rRNA from 1 species
CGCUGGCGUCAGGCCUAACACAAGAAAGUCGAGCGGCCGUAGCAAUACGGCAGCGGCAGACGGUUUACCCACACGUGGGAACGCGCCCUUCGGUUCGGAAUAACUCAGGGAAACUUGGGCUAAUACCGGAUACGCCCUUACGGGGAAAGAUUUAUUGCCGAAGGAACGGCCCGCGUCCGAUUAGCUUGUUGGUGAGGUAACGGCUCACCAAGGCGACGAUCGGUAGCUGGUCUGAGAGGAUGACCAGCCUCACUGGGACUGAGACACGGCCCAGACUCCUACUGGAGGCAGCAGUGGG